UACGUAGAGUGCGAGCGUUGUCCGGAAUUAUUGGGCGUAAAGGGCUCGUAGGCGGUUUGUCGCGUCGGGAGUGAAAUCCACUGGCUUAACUGGUGGCUUGCUUUCGAUACGGGCAGACUGGAGGUAUGCAGGGGAGAACGGAAUUCCUGGUGUAGCGGUGAAAUGCGCAGAUAUCAGGAGGAACACCGAUGGCGAAGGCAGGUCUCUGGGCCGAUACUGACGCUGAGGAGCGAAAGCGUGGGGAGCGAACAGG
rnacentral:rRNA from 1 species